rnacentral:rRNA from 1 species
GAUGAGGACAUCAAUACCAUUGUUACACCCACAGCCCCUGCUGCUAUACAUACUGGACCAAUUACUAGAGCUCGCGCACGCCAAUUAAAUUACCAAGUACUUUCGUUUCUUGGUAAUGAUUCUAAUGUUCAUGAGAAUAUGAUGCUGCCUAAAUUGGAUACAUUUGUUUUGCUUACAAAUGAAGGGCUUAGCUUGGAGAAGGAUGAACAUUGGAGCAAGAACAAGCAUGGAGAUGAUGGCAUGCGCAAGGGGAAUAAGAACGGAGUUACAAGUGAUGAUUUCAGGACGUUGAAGCCACCAUAA